rnacentral:lncRNA from 1 species
CCUGUUCUCCAAUUGGUUCUUGACCUAUCAAUAAAGAUGCCAUGAGCCAAUUUCUGGAUAGAAGGAAAGAGGCAGGAAUUCCGGUUCCCCACAGGAGGCCAAGAGACACAAGAAGAGGAAGAGAUUUUCAUGGUGCUUCAGAAGGAGAAGAGGUGACCAGCCAUGUGAUAUCUCAGGUCAUGCCACUGCUGCUGCUAUCCUGACAUUACCACACUGGAAUGCUAUUAUAUUCAUGAAGAGUUUGCAAGUGGAUUUAGGGGCUGCUGCUGAACUGAACUGCUGUAAACUGAGCUGCUGAUUUCCUGACCUCGCAGAUGGGAUUUGCUCCAAAGAGUCAUUUCUAAAAGGUCCACUUUCUCCAUAUCCUUUUGUUUUCACUAUCUCUGGUGGAUGGUGGGCUAGAAGGGAGAUUAGAAUGUUUAAAAACCAUCAUUAAAAGUAGGCUUUGAAAAAAUAAAAU